AAAGAAGUAUUUCCACGACACAUCAGCGUUUCCAGAUUUGGAAAGGGCUUGAUAAGUGCUUAACUGAACUCUCACAGUGAGGGAAAAAGCAUGUCACUUCUGGAGGAGGGCCUGGAAUAGAUAAAGGGGAAAAUAACUUCCCUGUCCUGCCUGAUGGGUGUUUGGCAGCGAAGAAGGAGGUUGGAGGAAAUCAGAAGUGUUUCAGCCCCUUGAAGCUUUCUGGUACCUGGAAGCCUCCUCACUUCCACCUAGCGUCUUUCACCACUGCCCAUAGCCACCUGAAGUUCACGUAUGUUACAAUAUCAGCUCUCUGAAAGCUUGUGCUCAACCACGCUGCUGUCCAAGCGGGUGUAGCUGGAGGCAACAUCUAUAAGGGAUCAUCUGGAAGAGAUGCUGCAGCGUAGGCUCCUCCAGAGCCUUCAGGACGCAUCAGUAGCGGAGCCAUUUUGGUGCUGUUUGUGCUUCACGGUUGUGUCCUGGGUAAAAACGUGGGUAAAAGCCAUUGGGUCCAUUAUGUCUGAUUCUCCCAGAGGCCAUCUACUGGAGCGCACAGGCUCUAAGGAACGUGGAAGAGAUAACUGGAGGGCGUGAGCUGUGCUCCAGCACGCGCUGAUGGGAAUAGUCCGAGAAGACUGGCUACAGAAGGCAUUACCUGCCACGUAAGGUAUCUGUGUGACCUUCCUUUCUGAAGAGUGGCUUUUUUUCUUCAACAUUCAUUAUUUCCGAGAGCCCGUGGGCUCGGCAGCAAAUUGCAGUGAUGUUUCAGGAUUGACUGCUUGAAUGUUCUGUUUUUCAGUUUUAGCUGCUAGGGAGGAUUUCAGCAGGUUUUCAGCUAGGUUAGCUGGGGAUCACCGCGCUUCUCUUCUGCAGUGGUCAGGCAGCCCAGCUGAGCUGAUGUUACGUGGUGCCCAACCUUCUUUCAGGUGUCAGCAGAAGCACUGGCAACAUCCAAAGAAAUAAGCGCAGACUCGUAUGCCAGAGGAUGGCUCCAGAAAUGGCUUGGUGUUUUAUUAACACAUCAGAAGGCUAUUGCCGUGGAUUUGUUGGUUCUCUGGUUAUACAAAAACUGCUAGAAGAGCCUCUCUGAGGCACCAUCAGAAAACCAGCUCCGUGUGAAAGCAUCUUCAUGGAGAAAGUCUGUCAGCUGUUCAGUAUGGCUUGUUUUCAAAUCUUCUUGAGAACGAACGUUGUUGCUUUUAAUCUACAAGUGGAUGCGGGGUUUAAUAGAGGCUUAAUGCCUGAAUGGCUUGCAGUCUUGUUCAGUCAGCUGUUGAGACGUAAGUAGGAGUAACAGGGAAUUGCAGAGGAGGUGUCCACGUGCAAACCUUGUAAAUCACUGUUUUGGGGGUGUGUGUGUGUGUAAAUUCUUAGAAAGGGGGAAUGAAAAGCAAACAAACAUGAAAACGAGAGUGGAAAAAGUAGUUUUAACGCUUCGAUGUCAACUCCUCCAUCCAGGGAUUUCAUCUGUGCUGCUGCUACUGGCCCAUUUUGGUGCAUAGUAAGAACAAUUCUUCUAGCUGCCAAUCAACCAUUUUCUUUUCGAUAAUUAUUCACAUUGCUGUAGAAACGGAAAUUAUCCCUAUUUUCUCACUUUCCAGUGGAAAACUGUAGUUGCAGCUGCUCCCUCCCCCCGCUUGGAAGUUUUACACGCUAAGAGUCACCAGCCAGCCUUGCCUUAAAUCAAAUCUUCCCAUGCAGCCUGGAUGCAAAUCUAGCAAGCACAGCAGCUGUCUGCUCUUAGCAAGGGGAAAAGCAACACGUUUCUUCAGCCACUGGCUAGGGAACUCCUGCUCAAAAAAGAGGGCUACGCCUUGUCUGAUGCCUUUAUAAAGUUAUAGGAGACAGUUUCCUGCGGGCUUUCACAGAUACUGCUAAUCAUCUUAAACUGAAACAGGGCUUCCAAAAACAGCAUGUAAAUCCCCAUAACACACCUUCAAUUUCUGUCUCCAAGGCUACCCAGCUGCCCUGAUCCUCUGUGACAGGCUCGAAAUGCCAUGAUGCUUCCUUUUGAACUGCUCCUUGCCCACUUUUCAAGCCCUCUUUACUCCCAGACCUCCCCACGGGCAGAAGCCCCGCUAGCUCUUGGCUUGCCUUGCUUGCUGGGGACAAGGAUUCACAGCACUGCUGCCCCGUGCUGGGUGAUGAGCAAUGGGACAUCUGUGUAACAGGGGAUACUAGGCUCUCUACUGUCCUGCAGCUCAGUGGAACUGAUUUCCACAGGGGCAUGAGAAGAGCUGGAGCCCCUGAAUGGUCCUGCCCUGCCCAGUUGUGCUCACCCAUCUGCACAAAAGCUGGGUCCAAAAGGCUCUUUAAAACCAUGUUAAUAGCAUUUUUCAUGCUGCUUUUACUGAACCUCCUCAUUCUGCUCUAAGCCAUGCAGUUCACGAAUGGCAGCUAUUCCCCAGUCAGGGAAGCGCAUUUUGGGGGACACGGUGUACGUAGCCUUACUGGACAUUUUUCAGUGAUUUUAUAUGCAGAUACUGCCUUCUCACAGUGAACCAAAUUCUGCCCUCUCCUGAAGUCUCUUGGGUCUAAAUUAGUGAGACUUUAUACAUACCGUGACUUGAAUCUGAAUGUACUUCCUUGCUUGCAAUCCCCGUGGUCACGGAGUAGGCAAGGAGACUUUGUGCUGUAGUUUACCUUGCCAUAAGCGGGCUUUUUCGGUCAUCCUGGUGAACCAUGUGAUCAGCAGGCACAUUCCCUGUGUCGUCAAUGUGGGAGCACUUUCUGCAGGAUGCAGGAUUUGCAAAGGCACAAAUGGAUGGGGCAGCGUCCCAGCAGCAUGCAGAAUUCCCCAGCCAGUGGCUCAUCUCGCAUCUUCUCUGAGAAGAUAGCACCUGAGGUCCCUCCUGAAACAUUCCCCAGGACUCACGGGAGUGCUGGAUGAGCUGAUGAGGCAUUUGUGCUGCAGACACCCCCAGAGCACUGAAGAGUCAAGAGAAUGAUGCCAGACUAGAAUCAAUGAGGCCUUAUGCGGGCACUCAAGAAUAACAAGCCAACCAGUGGAUUUGCAGGCAGCCUGUAACAGCUUGUUAUCUGAUGUCCCCUGGGCACAAACACUGAGACAUCUGCAGUUUUUGACCCGUUUUUUCCCUCUGCUGGCUCAAUAGCUAGUUAGCCAGUCAUCCAAAGUGGAAAGAAAACAGAGGGAAGAAGAGAACGCAUGCCAGUAAGCAGGAGAAGCUGGAAUAUUGGGAUGCCAAAAGGACUGGAAAUAAAAUAAGAACACAGAUUUCUUUGCUCUCCUUUAUUGUUUGUGCAUCAAGCUCUCCGAGUUUGUUUCUGGAACUCUGUUGAAAGCUUGCCAGUUGUCACUGAACUUUUAUGUUGGUUUAUUUUGCAUGUAUUUUGCAUCUCCAAUUUCUUUGUUUGGCACUGCAAGAUAAAAAUGAACCUGAACAACACACACUGGGACUUCAUCGAUUGUCUCUGGUCCCUAUAAUUUCUUCCCAUCCCAUGAGAGGCCAGGAGGAGCCCCAGAGGAGGCUGCUGGGUCCUUUGAAAAGAGAUCCUUGGAGCACAGCAACCAUGCCAGCUAACACUGUGCUUCCCUGCUUUCAGGCUCUUGUUACUAAAGGGUGUGCCCAGGCGCUCUGAAGGGGUCAUGAACACCAGCCCCAGCCUAAUCUUCUAAUUAACUCCUGUUAAUGUAAGCGCACUCGAGAAGAUUCUUUUAGCCAUGCUGCUCAAGAAAUUAGAAGUCCUCUCUCAAAGAGAUAGAGUGUUUCUUCGUUUGUAGUUCAGCACGACAACACCAUUUUGCUGCAUGGGAAGUAUUUGCCUCAGCCUGUGGUGCUCAUUUCUCAUCCUUGGAUUACAGUUUAUUGUAAAUCAACUCAGGAUAAUAGGUGGCGGCUCAGUGUAUGUUAUCUGCAGCAUUUUAGCCUUGCAUAGGCAGAGGCCUCCUGGCUUAUUGGUUCUCUAAUUUCCACGCCUUGGAAAAGCCUAAAGAUUGGGGUGUGUGCCUUGCAAUGAUACGUAGGGCUCUGGGACCUACCAGAGAAACAUGCUGCUGCUGCUGCUGCUGCUGCUUCUCUUUUAACCUGAUGCAGCCUCAUCGCAUGGAUGCUCCGCUCAUUGCAGUCAAGGUUAGAAAGGGAUUUGAGCCUCUUUCUGAUGUGGAAAGAAAGUAGUCCCACAGGUAGAAGCACAAAGAACAGCUGAGCUCAGACCAACCUCAGGAAAAAAAAAAAAAACAAAGCAAAUUUCCACAAUGGAGUGUAGCUGGACUGCAUCGAGAGAGCGAAUGUGGAGCAGGAUGAGAAUUGUACCUGCCUGUGUUAUAAGCAGAGACUCUGCAGCUCUCCCGACAUCAAUUUUGCCUAGGAGAAUCCAUCCGAAAACAAACAAAUACCAACAGAAAUGCUCCUAUUGUUUUCUUUCUCUGUUGGUAAUGAAAACUAUUCCUUUAAAAAAAAGAGCAAUAUCCUCCCCUAUGAUUUUUGCAGUCACAACACAGAAACGGAGAAAACCUGAAAGCACAAUUGACUCCUUUUGAUUUUUCCUAUUUCAAGAGAGGAGACAUGCCAGCGGGAAAGAGAACAAAAAUCACGCUGAGUAAAUCUGGAAUUUAAACCGCCACCGAUGAUCAACAGCGACCAUCCAAAUAUUUAUUUCUUCUUCUACAGUUUCUUUCCGUUUAAGCCGAUGAGCGGAUCUUUAAUUUGAUGUUCAGUCAUCCUUACUUAAAGACAUGUAUCUUUUAGGUCGUUUCUUUAAUUAUUCACUUCUGCAGGAAUUCAGACGGCAAGAUUUGGGGGAUAAUGUAGUCACGUACCGCCUUAGCAUGCUGCUUCUCUUCAAUAAUUUGUCUAUUAGUGACCUCCAUUUGGUACUAGAGAUCAAGUCCUCCUUGCACUGGCCUUGACAAGAAAAUGUCCAACGGAUUGAGCAAGGUGUUGGCUUUAUCCCUACUGCACGUGCCAUGGCAGAGCUGCCACAACAUCUAAUGCCACAUCUCUAUUACCUAGACAGUGCUUUGAAAUACGGCUCCGUGUAUGGGAUACAGUCCCAGUUUCAAGCAAGAAGCAAGGGAGGGACUGCAGCUCUGCUGCUGGAAGCAUACAAGCGAGGCAUGAAGCAGGGAGAUGUCCUCCUGACUGCCUAGCAGGCUGGAUAAGUUUCUGUGUGUAGUUUGCUCGUGGAGCAUCGGCGAUGUGGUGUGCAAUCUGCAGCCACUCGCAGGUCCCUGCAACCUGCCUGCUUCCCAGUUAUCGUGGCUGCAGACCACCAUAAGCAUUUCUGCAGGCAAGCUUCUAAGGUCAUGCUGCUAAACCUCCAUAUAUGCGCUGAAAUAUCAUGAUACAUGGGUUUGGUUUUUUUUUCUCUCCUUGCGUGUUUAGUGCUUUAAAAUUCCAUCCAGUUCAACAAGAGCUCAGCAUGUAAUAUAAAGCAGCUGUUUAUGGGUGCUUAAGUACAGAGUUAAGAACCAAACUUCAGGCAGCCAGAUUUGAAAAGCGUAGUCAGUCCUUAAAUGAUGUGCUCUGCUGAAAGGGGUCUACUCUAAAAAUGCUCAUGAAGUGUGAGGGUUUAUGAUGGAAAGGAACCUGUAGCAAGCAGCGUGUUUGCUUCCCACUUUUCCUAG
ensembl:lncRNA